CCUACGGGGGGCAGCAGUGAGGAAUAUUGGUCAAUGGACGAGAGUCUGAACCAGCCAAGUAGCGUGAGGGAUGACUGCCCUAUGGGUUGUAAACUUCUUUUAUCUGGGAAUAAAGUGUUCCACGUGUGGGAUGUUGUAUGUACCAUAUGAAUAAGGAUCGGCUAACUCCGUGCCAGCAGCCGCGGUAAUACGGAGGAUCCGAGCGUUAUCCGGAUUUAUUGGGUUUAAAGGGAGCGUAGGUGGAGUGUUAAGUCAGUUGGGAAAGUUUGGGGCUCAACCGUAAAAGUGCAGUUGAAACUGGCAGUCUUGAGUACAGGAGAGGUGGGCGGAAUGCGUGGUGUAGCGGUGAAAUGCUUAGAUAUCACGAAGAACUCCGAUUGCGAAGGCAGUUCACCGGACUGCAACUGACGCUGAGGCACGAAAGUGUGGGUAUCAAACAGGAUUAGAUACCCCAGUAGUC
rnacentral:rRNA from 1 species